GGCGGACACAACAUCUUUGUUUGUAUGUGGUGCUGAGGAUCGAACCCGGGCUGCACGCAUACCAGGCGUGCGCGCUACCGCUUGAGCCACAUCCCCAGCCCCUAUUAGCUGUUUUUAUCAAAUUUUCUAAUAACUGGUACCAGCCCCAGUGACUUGGGUCACCUUAUCUGCAAGUCAUGCUUUUUUCUAGUCAUUCCCUGGGUACUUCUGGCCUCAGAGUGUAAAGAGGGGACAUUGACACUGUACUCUAACAACAGGGAAGUGAGUCUGGACCAAGGUGUCAGGAGAUCACUUGUGAGUCACCUUAACAACUUGUUACUAAGAGUGGGUAAAGCACUGAUGUGUUAAUGUUUUAUUUUUUUUUAAGGCACAUUAUAUUGGUGUGUUUUUAAAUUUUUAUUUACCAUUUCAUUUAGUUUUCUUGGAUGGAAAGGAACAUAAUCAACAUCUACAACCCUGUAGAUGUUAUUUUGCCUAAUUAAAAAAAAAGGCAUGAAGGGAGAAUUUUGUAUGAGUGUGAUAUUGAUUUUUCUAGUAUGUGAACAUUAUUUUCCAUGUGCUAUGGCAGAACCACAGGUAAGAAGCAUUAUUUUAGAGUUCCAAGUGGGCUGUGUUAUAAUAUGGUCUUUCCCGUAUGGAACUUAUGGAUUUUUAGGUUCAUAGUGUGAUGAUACAGCAGUAUUUAAAAUUACCUCCAAACCUCUGUGGAACAUAACCAUGAAACUAUUUCAAGUUACUUUUAUUAAAAGUCCUCUUGUUCUAUCUUCUAAUACAAACAAAUUGUAUCAAUAAUUUAUACACAUUUGGGGGGUUAAAUACUAGGUUGCAGUUCCCUGCCAACAGAAAUGAAAAUUUAGGAAUUCCAUAUUGCAUCAUUGAAAAUAUUAACGUUAUUAACAUGGACUCAAUGAAUGGAGAUAUAUAUAUAUAUAUAUAU
rnacentral:lncRNA from 1 species